rnacentral:rRNA from 1 species
AUUGAACGCUGGCGGCAUGCUUUACACAUGCAAGUCGAACGGUAACAGGCCGCAAGGUGCUGACGAGUGGCGCACGGGUGAGUAAUGCAUCGGAACGUGCCCAGUCGUGGGGGAUAACUACUCGAAAGAGUAGCUAAUACCGCAUACGAUCUAUGGAUGAAAGCGGGGGACCGUAAGGCCUCGCGCGAUUGUAGCGGCCGAUGUCAGAUUAGGUAGUUGGUGGGGUAAAGGCUCACCAAGCCAACGAUCUGUAGCUGGUCUGAGAGGACGACCAGCCACACUGGGACUGAGACACGGCCCAGACUCCUACGGGAGGCAGCAGUGGGGAAUUUUGGACAAUGGGCGCAAGCCUGAUCCAGCAAUGCCGCGUGCAGGAAGAAGGCCUUCGGGUUGUAAACUGCUUUUGUACGGAACGAAACGGCUCUGGUUAAUACCCGGGGCUAAUGACGGUACCGUAAGAAUAAGCACCGGCUAACUACGUG